rnacentral:lncRNA from 1 species
UGUAGUAAUCUUGAUCUCCUCUUCGUGUUCUCGAGCUCUUCGAUUUGAACAUACUGAAGAAAGAGAAUGAGGAGCUCUUCUUUCCUGCCAUGGCCUUAGCUUGGUGAAGGAAAAAAAGAUAUGUAGGCUUGUUUUUCUUUUGGAUGAAACUAAAGAAGCAGUGAGCUAAUAACUUGUUGGUUUCAAAUGGAGUGAAGCUCUAUUGAAUUUAUAGUAGUUGUUAGGGGGAGAAUCUAAGGAGUUGGAGAUGUAAAGCUUUAAAUUAUGAUAAAUGGUGGUGAGUAAAUGAAGUGAAA